rnacentral:lncRNA from 1 species
CCCCAAAUGAAAUAUAGGGUGGGUCUCCUAGGUCUUCUCAUCUGUGUCAAUGACAAGAAAAUUUAUAUUAUAAAAGUGUCUGGUCUAAUCUAGUAUGCAAGACUAUCUCUAGUAUAGUUCAUUCAUUAUAAAGCCUACUGUACUCAGUCACCACCCCUCUCUUACAAGCCUACUUUAAAUUGGAAAGCCUGUCUCGCUUGUUUCGGUGUGGUGAGUGAAAUGGAGAAGGCUAAACUUUUUCUUCCCACAUGCUCACUUCCUUGCUUGUUCGCUAGCUGCUGCAUCUGGCCCCUCAAGGGUAAAGUCAAGGGGAAAAGGAGAUUGAGAGGAAGGACAGUCUGUGAAUUGGGUCUCACCGUGUUUCCCAGGCUGAAGUACAGUGUUGUGAUAUCAGUUCAUUGCAACUUCUGUCUUCUGAGCUCAAGCAAUCCUCUUGCCUCAGCCUCUCAAGUAGCUGGGACUGACUACAGGCAUGAACCACCACACCUGGCUAAUUUUUUUUGUAUUUUUGUCGAAAAGACAGUUUCGCCAUGUUGUACAGAACUACUUCUCAAAUCACUAUUCACAUCCUGGUAGAAGUCAAGCAAUGAAGAUGGCACAGAAACACAUCCCAAAUACUAUGAUACCAUAAAGUAUACUGUAGCAAUGCAUUGGCACACCCUCAUUUGAACAUUUGUCUCAGAAGAUUUUGACAGAAGAUAAAAUUGUCUGGUUUUUAUUUCAUUGGUUUCAUGAAAAUUUAUUUCACUGGUUUCAUGUCACAGGCCCAUGACUGUAUAAAGAGUCAUAAUCUUUACAAACACAACAAUGACUCACAGCGACAUGUUGCAAAGCUGUAAUCGAAAACACUGAUGUUGAUUUCAGAGGCCAUUAAUGGUGUUAAGAAGGCGCUUUUGUUAACCAAAUAAUUGAAUACUCGUAAUUACUUUUCAGUUCUAGUUCAGUUCUUGACACCAAAACAAGCCAUUUUCUUUACAUAGUGAAUGCAGAACUUGCCAGUAAGAACUUUCAUACUAAACUUCUAUGUAAAACAAAACAUGUCAAAAUCAGUAACUACUUUAAUGGAAUGGUAAAGAAUUUACUUAAACACAAAGGAAUGAAAAUAUCUCUGCAAAUAUGUCUAUUGACUUUUCAAAUUUGGUGACUUCUUUCGAAUUAAUUCCCUUACGUCUGUUCCUCAUCCACAUAAAAAUGACAAAAAUGAAAGAUAAUUUUCCAGCCUAUAAUUAAAUUUCUCCAUUGUUGGUAUAUGUUUUUUCAAAUACAUUUUUCAGUUUUCAUAAUUCAUAUGAGAAUUAUUAAAAGGGAGUUAGUUGCCUUUAGGACCUUAUUUGGAGCCUAAUUCUUAAAAAUUGUGUAAAAAUAAUUGUGACUUUUAAGAGACAAUUGGAAAUUUGAACCUGACCACAUUUUUGUGAUAUUAAGGAAUUUUAUUAAUUAUUUUCUAGGUGGGGGAAUGAUAUGAUGAUAUUCUUAAAAUAAUGUGUGGAUUGUUUAUUACAUUUCAACAUUUUCUUAAUCAUCAAACAUUUGUUGACCUUCUGCUGUAUCUAGAGCUCUGUGAUCGGGAUGAAGUAUGAGAUAUUAAGCCAUUACCAGGUGGUAGUUACUCUACCUCUGUUUGAAGUUCAUGCCCAGCCCAUUUGUUGCUUUAAAUUUGAGUUCAUUCUUGAGCAUGUGCCACCAAAUUCCAAGCAUUUUCAAAUGGUGAAUUACUUCUUACAAACUCAACGGAGUGUAUGUUAGCCGAUCUGAAGUAACCCACUUGAAGUGAUGCGCUGUGUCAACCUUAAUAUCACCAUCAAAUGAUCCCUAGGGAAUGCAACAUUUGGCUUAUUUCAUUUUUAACAUGUGAAUUUAGUUUAUAUCAAAGUAAUAUAAUACACAUAGUUUAAAAAAAUCAUAUAGUAUGACAACAACUUGAAAGAAAAGCAACAGAUCCUUGCAGGUUGCUCUUCUUCCUCCCCAAGUACCUGAGCAUCUGUCAUUGUCCUCCAGCAUAAGGCCGUCAGGAGCACACCUAUAAUUGAAUAAGCAGGACUCACUACCCAUUUCAGUGAGGGAAAACUCACACCACAGAGAAUCCUGGGGUGUCUCAGGUGAAGGAUGUUAAAAGGGACUUAUAACAGGAUUUGGGCUUUGGUUGGGUGACUCGACGGAAGUUUCCCGCUCUGAAUUGGAUGCUCUCUAAAAGUGGUUAUAAUCUGUGAUUGGGUAUCUCGAUAAGUCUUAUCCUUAGAGAGGGCAGACUAGAGUAAUGCUAAAGAUGCAAUUGUUAAGAAGCAGUCCUCAUUCGUAUUAGCUGAGAGAGGGGAAUGUUUCGUAUUUUGUGGCUUGAACAAUGCUCAUGUGUUUAGACAUGAUUGUAGAGUGAUUUUCAAUUUGUUUUGAUCCAUCAUAGUGCUGAUGUCAUGUUAAUUUUUUUUUUAAUGUUCAACAGAAUACUAACACCUAGCUGUGAGUACCAGGACAGCUGGUAGCAACCCCAAGGCUUUGCUGGUAGUGCCAGGCUAGCUCCUGGAAGUCAGAAGUUGCUUUGUUCUUUCCCAUGUCUUUUCCCAGAGGCAAUCACAUUAAACCUUUUAGAAGUUUCUUCUGGCACUUACCUCCAGAUUCCUAAUAGUUUUUCUUUGUUUUUAAAUGUUUGAUUUAUUUUUAAAUAUUUGACUUCCUGCUAUAGAAAUAAGACUUUUUGCUCUCUUGUAUCCACCCUGCUAUACACAUUUGCUAUGUACAUACCUCCUAUACUCGUCCUAAUAAUACACAUG